rnacentral:rRNA from 1 species
AGCAGUGGGGAAUUUUCCGCAAUGGGCGCAAGCCUGACGGAGCAAUACCGCGUGAGGGAGGAAGGCCCUUGGGUUGUAAACCUCUUUUCUUAGGGAAGAAGACAAUGACGGUACCUAAGGAAUCAGCCUCGGCUAACUCCGUGCCAGCAGCCGCGGUAAUACGGAGGAGGCAAGCGUUAUCCGGAAUGAUUGGGCGUAAAGCGUCCGCAGGUGGCGAUUCAAGUCUGCUGUCAAAGCUCCUGGCUCAACUGGGAAGUGGCAGUGGAAACUGAAAAGCUAGAGUGCGGUAGGGGUAGAGGGAAUUCCCGGUGUAGCGGUGAAAUGCGUAGAGAUCGGGAAGAACNCCAGUGGCGAAAGCGCUCUACUAGGCCUGCACUGACACUCAGGGACGAAAGCUAGGGGAGCGAAUGGGAUUAGAUACCCCAGUAGUCCUAGCCGUAAACGAUGGAUACUAGGCGUGGCUUGUAUCGACCCGAGCCGUGCCGGAGCUAACGCGUUAAGUAUCCCGCCUGGGGAGUACGCGCGCAAGCGUGAAACUCAAAGGAAUUGACGGGGGCCCGCACAAGCGGUGGAGUAUGUGGUUUAAUUCGAUGCAACGCGAAGAACCUUUCCAGGGCUUGACAUGUCCGGAAUCUUAGGGAAACCUGAGAGUGCCUNCGGGAGCCGGAACACAGGUGGUGCAUGGCCUGUCGUCAGCUCGUGUCG